rnacentral:rRNA from 1 species
AGUGAACGCUGGCGGUAGGCCUAACACAUGCAAGUCGAACGGCAGCACAGGAGAGCUUGCUCUCUGGGUGGCGAGUGGCGGACGGGUGAGGAAUACAUCGGAAUCUACUCUGUCGUGGGGGAUAACGUAGGGAAACUUACGCUAAUACCGCAUACGACCUACGGGUGAAAGCAGGGGAUCUUCGGACCUUGCGCGAUUGAAUGAGCCGAUGUCGGAUUAGCUAGUUGGCGGGGUAAAGGCCCACCAAGGCGACAAUCCGUAGCUGGUCUGAGAGGAUGAUCAGCCACACUGGAACUGAGACACGGUCCAGACUCCUACGGGAGGCAGCAGUGGGGAAUAUUGGACAAUGGGCGCAAGCCUGAUCCAGCCAUACCGCGUGGGUGAAGUAGGCCUUCGGGUUGUAAAGCCCUUUUGUUGGGAAAGAAAUCCAGCUGGCUAAUACCCGGUUGGGAUGACGGUCCCCAAAGAAUAAGCACCGGCUAACUUCGUGCCAGCAGCCGCAGUAA